GCCCGGUUGGCACAAUUGGUUAGCGCGUGAGACUUUUAAUCUCAAGGUUCUGGGUUCGAGCCCCAGAUCGGGCG